CAAAAACAUAGCCUAUAGCAAUACGAGUAUUAUAGGUCCAACCUGCCCAGUGAAACAUAUUUUAAACGGCCGCGGUAUCCUAACCGUGCAAAGGUAGCGUAAUCACUUGCCCCCUAAAUAGGGGCCAGUAUGAAUGGUUCAAUGAGGAUUUAACCUGUCUCCUGCGCCCAAUCAGUGAAAUUGGUCUUCUGGUACAAAAACCAGGAUGACAACAUAAGACGAGAAGACCCUGUGGAGCUUCAAACUAACAAUUACCCGUGCUAAUCACCAGUUUUAAGUUGGGGCAACUUUGGAAACAAAAUAACUUCCAAGAUAAACAGGCACCUACCCUGGACCCAGGUCAACACACCUAAGCAAACCAUGACCCAGUAACACUGACCAACGAACCAAGUUACCCCAGGGAUAACAGCGCUAUCUUCCUCUAGAGUUCAUAUCGACAGGAAGGAUUACGACCUCGAUGUUGGAUCAGGGCAUCCAAGUGGUGCAGCCGCCCCCAAAGGUUCGUUCGUUCAACGAUUAAAGCCCUACGUGAUCUGAGUU
rnacentral:rRNA from 1 species